GGCACCCUUGCGUGUCCGUCCGCAAAGGUCAGCCUCCCCGAAGACUCCCAUUGUCCCUUAGGACCAACAAAAGAGAGAACGGGCAAGAGAGAACGCCUCAAUCGGGAUCCACAAGCAAACAUCUCCGAAAAACACUUCAUAGACAAUGCAAAUUACAAACAAACUUUACAAGCUCUGAAUAGUGGCACAACAAAGGGUAAAAUGGUCCAUUACAGACCGAAAAGCUCUCGCACGUGUCCACAUGACACAACCUUUAUUUAUAAGCCUAAAGAGGCCACCAACCCAACUAAAGUGGGACUAUUAAGCCUUCGGCCGCCCCUCUACAUUCUGUACAAGGCAUGAACAUGCCAACAGACACGGACAUAUAUAAGCAUUACAUCAAACAUCCUGUUUCAAAGUUUGUCCGUGACAUUCUCCCCCACUUAUCCCUUCGACGUCCUCGUCGAAGCCUUUGUGAACACUGCAACUCUUCGCCUUUGCUGAGUCUUUAAUCUUCCGCUCCAACUGCAAUGCGCCUCCUGGCUCCCAGCUGCUCUCUGCUGCUGUUUUUGAGUAGUCGAACCUUUGAUCCGCCAUGCUGCUUCAACUCGCCAAUGACUCUGACUCUAGUGUGGGGUUGGCUGAGUUGUGUUGAUCCUCGUUGAUUCCUGCGGAUCCACCAAAUGAAGGAAAAGACCAUCCUUACUGCGCCAGUCUCUCAAAAUCUCCACAUGCUGCUUGAACUGGGUGGAUGCUUGUUGGAGCUUUAACGAGCAUCGCCUCGCAAACUUCUGAAGUUUUGGGUCCUUCCUCCACAAAAUCUGCUCAUUGACUCUUCUUUCAAUUAGUUGUCACAUCCAAGUAGGUUCGCAUCACUUCCGCUUUCGAUUGGCAUUUCAUUGGGAAAUGAAGCGGACAAUCUACUCUCAGUAGCACUGAUCACCGUUGGUGAGGAUUUGACAACUAUUGUCUUCCAUUAUCUUCAAAGGGUCUUUGAACUUGUGCAGAGCUCCUCUGCUGGAUAGAUAAGAGAAUUGGGGUACUCGGUUUCACCCAUUCUCUUAAGAGUUGAGAAGGCAAAGGUUACUUGACUUCGCCCGCCUCCUCGAGGUUGUACUUCAUGCAUCGAGCUGGUUAUUGGCCUUCGCCUGCUCUUUGCUCACACUUCUGAAGCACUUGAAGUGUUUGCACUCCUUGCGUUGAGUUAGCUACUGUGAUUCACCUUCUCAAUGCCAUUGAACUUCUGGAAUGCAGGAAGUUUUCACCACAACUUGGAGUAAUUCUCUGAUAGAUGAGGUCGCCUCUGGGAUUGUACCGUCUUCUCCAUCAACCCUGCCGCCUACUCCACUGAGUAGCAAAGGUACAACACCACGUACUGCCUGCUUCGUUCCUUGGUCGUGCACUCUUGCAUGACCCGAAGUCCUUCACUUACGGCUAUCUUGAUGAGAAACUUGUUGACACCGGUCUUACGAAGUUUCUUGGCCUCUGCCCUUCAGCCUUGUCUCGGUACUUGGAGAUUGCCUCUCAUGCUCCACCUCCUCGGCCCCUUUCACGACCAAGCGCUCUCCCUCCGUGAGAGCAAUGGAUCAAUGACUUUGACGGAAGUCCCGCCUCUGCGGCCAUGGCGCUGCCAUGCCCAUGGCACUACUAUCCGUUGCCUCGCAUCUGCAUCCCUUUUCUUCAAGAUCAGUAGAUAUGUUUCCGUGGCACUCCUCUGAGUCCACCUCCAUUCUAACUGAUGCUUGAUUUUGGUUAGCUAAGUCCCUCUGGACUCGUCGUCGCUUCCUCGCCCCUUUCGACCCCCUGCUUCAACACCUCUGUGUUCUCCAAGUAGUCUGUUUGGUCGAUGGAAAGACAGACUGC
rnacentral:lncRNA from 1 species